rnacentral:sRNA from 1 species
AUGGGCCCUACAUGUGGGGCAGGUACGACAUUGUCUUCCUGCCACCCUCCUUCCCCAUCGUGGCCAUGGAGAACCCCUGCCUCACCUUCAUCAUCUCCUCCAUCCUGGAGAGCGAUGAGUUCCUGGUCAUCGAUGUCAUCCACGAGGUGGCCCACAGCUGGUUCGGCAACGCUGUCACCAAUGCCACGUGGGAAGAGAUGUGGCUGAGCGAGGGCCUGGCCACCUAUGCCCAGCGCCGCAUCACCACCGAGACCUAUGGUGCGGCUGGGGCUGGGGAGGGCAGCCACUGGGGGCCCUGGGCACUGAGCCAGGGGCAGAGAGCCUAGCCUGGCUCCCCUGCCAUGCUGCAGGUACCCACACCUCCUGCUUCCCCCGACUCCCCCCACACCCCCUCACCUCCCCUCUGUCUCUGGACCCCAUCCAGGUGCUGCCUUCACCUGCCUGGAGACUGCCUUCCGCCUGGACGCCCUGCACCGGCAGAUGAAGCUUCUGGGAGAGGACAGCCCGGUCAGCAAACUGCAGGUCAAGCUGGAGCCAGGUACCUGCUCCUCAGGACCCGCUCCCAGAACUGGGGAUGUCACCCCUCAAGGCCUCCUUGCCUGCCCUUCGUGUGUUCUGGCUGUGACUUCUGUGUCCUGCACUGUGCCUGGACCCCUGCCAAGGCCAAGCUGGGAGCCCCUGGCCAGGGCAAGGCCUCCCCAGGCUCCCACAGCCACUGCCGCCUCCCUGGUUCUGAGCACCAGUCACAGUGGUGUGUGAGUCCUCAGUCUUCCCAGAGGCCCUGCCGCUGCACGCCCAGGGCAUCAGUACACAUCUGGACAUGUGAGGGACAGUGGCGCUUGGCCCUUGCUGCUCCUCGGAGCCUGACCACCGCCCCUGCCUGUCCCAUGGGACACUGGUGGUUUCGGACACCAGCCCAGGUGGGUGUUCACCUUGCAGGAGUGAAUCCCAGCCACCUGAUGAACCUGUUCACCUACGAGAAGGGCUACUGCUUCGUGUACUACCUGUCCCAGCUCUGCGGAGACCCACAGCGCUUUGAUGACUUUCUCCGAGUGAGCAGCCCCCUGCCCGGGACAGCCCUGCUGCCAUCUGCCCCCAGCCCCUCCCCAGCUCACAGGGCUGCCUGCUCUUCUGGCAGUUGGGGUGGAAUUGGCAGGGGCCUGUGAGCCUGGCUGGGACCUAGUCUGCCUUUCUUUGUGGGGAGUGCCUGGGUUGCCACCUCCCCUUCUCCCACCCUCUAUUUGGUCCCUUGGCAGGGCCUGUGUGCCAAGUGCUGGCUCCGCAGUGCCCACUAGCUGCCUCUGUGCCCAGCACGUACCUUGGCGCAUGCGCUGCAGUGCCCUGCAGGCCUCUGGUGGGGCUGCCUGUGCCCCGCCCCUCCAGGCCUGCUGAGGCCCCACCUCUGCCACACAGGCCUACGUGGAGAAGUACAAGUUCACCAGCGUGGUGGCCCAGGACCUGCUGGACUCCUUCCUGAGCUUCUUCCCGGAGCUGAAGGAGCAGAGCGUGGACUGCCGGGCAGGUGAGGCUGACCCCCGCCCUGCAGCCAGGGAGCCAUGGGUGUGACGACAGCGGGGCCUCUGCUGCCUGAGGGGCCGCUCCGCCUGGGGGAAAGCCCUGUCAGUUCACUGUCUGUCCCUUCAGCCAACCCUUGCUGGACCAUGUGGGCCCCAGGCCGGUAUGCUAUGAGAACAGGGCUGGGGUCGGGGGCCUGCCUGGGGGCGGUGGCACAAGGCUAAGCAGGCCGAGUCAGGCACUCCCAGGAAGCGGGCCAUGGAAACCAGGCGUGCAAAGGGCCUGGUGCAGGAAGGGCGGGUGACGGGGGUGUCCUGGAGCUGGAGAACAGCAGCCAGCCCUGCUUAUGUGUCACUUGUAAAGGUGUCCCUGAGGGUCUGAGGGCUUGGGGCCCAGGAAGGCACUGCAGGGUUCAGACAUUGAGGGAGAGGCCAGAAUUGCUGGAGGGUGGUGAGGUGCCACUGGGAGGGAUGUGCAUGGUGACACCAAGUUUUGGAAGGUACAGCAAGUGCAUCAAGAGCUUUUUGUGUGUAGGGGAUGGGCACUGCCCCUUAAGAGCAGGAAUAUCAUCUUAAGAGCCUGUUGCCCCCAUCCCGCCCCUGCUGGUUCGUGGUGCAGGUGGCCUCCACCAGCACUGAGGUUGGGUUUAGACUAGUUCGUUGUCCUCCACCCAGGAGAGGCGUGGAGUGGGUGCGAGUCCCUUGGUCACCAACCCAAGUCUCUGCCUCCCUGUACCCCUUCACAGAAGCCCCUUCAGUGGCUUCAAGUGGCAGUGCUGGCUGGAGCUGACCCCGCCUUCCUGAAUGGCCCACGUCCCUGGAAGGCCGCCUGCCUGGGACACACUCAGGGUCUGGGGUCUCCUGGGCAGAUUGCUCAGGCAGCCCCUCCCUAGCCUGGGCAGGGACCCCAGGGUCACUUCUCCCCUCUAGGGCUGGAAUUCGAGCGCUGGCUCAAUGCCACAGGCCCGCCGCUGGCUGAGCCGGACCUGUCUCAGGGAUCCAGCCUGACCCGGCCCGUGGAGGCCCUUUUCCAGCUGUGGACUGCAGAACCUCUGGACCAGGCAGCUGCCUCGGCCAGCGCCAUUGACAUCUCCAAGUGGAGGACCUUCCAGACAGCACUCUUCCUGGACCGGCUCCUGGAUGGGUCCCCACUGCCACAGGAGGUGGUGAUGAGCCUGUCCAAGUGCUACUCCUCCCUGCUGGACUCGAUGAACGCUGAGAUCCGCAUCCGCUGGCUGCAGAUCGUGGUCCGCAACGACUACUAUCCUGACCUCCACAGGGUGCGGCGCUUCCUGGAGAGCCAGAUGUCACGCAUGUACACCAUCCCGCUGUACGAGGACCUCUGCACUGGUGCCCUCAAGUCCUUCGCGCUGGAGGUCUUCUACCAGACGCAGGGCCGGCUGCACCCCAACCUGCGCAGAGCCAUCCAGCAGAUCCUGUCCCAGGGCCUGGGCUCCAGCACAGAGCCCGCCUCAGAGCCCAGCACAGAGCUGGGCAAGGCUGAAGCAGACACAGACUCAGACGCACAGGCCCUGCUGCUUGGGGAUGAGGCCCCCAGCAGUGCCAUCUCUCUCAGGGACGUCAAUGUGUCUGCCUAGCCCUGUUGGCGGGCUGACCCUCGACCUCCCAGACACCACAAUUGUGCCUUCUGUGGGCCAGGCCUGCCAUGACUGCGCCUCGGCUCUGGCCAUGAGCUCUGCCCAGGCCCACGAGCCCCUCCCCUGGGCUCUCCCAGGCAGGGAGAAUGGGGAGAGGGACCUCCUUGUGUCUGGCAGAGACCUGUGGACCUGGCCUCCCCACUCCCAGCUCUCUUGCACUGCAGGCCCUGGGGCCAGCCCGCACACGCCAUGCCUCCUGUCUCAACACUGACAGCUGUGCCUAGUCCCGGACGCCAGCACCUGCCAGGUGCCGCCCCUGGGGCAAGGGCCCCAGCAGCCCUAUGGUGACCGCCACACUGUGCCUUAAUGUCUGCCGGGGGCCCAGGCUGUGCUGUCCCUGCAGCACGCCUCCUUGCAGGGAUCUGAGCCACCCUCCCCGCACAGCCCUGCACCCCGCCCCUGGGGUUGGCAGCCUCAGUUGGCCCCUGGCAGAGGAACAAGGACACAGACAUUCCCUCAGUGUGGGGGCAGGGGACACAGGGAGAGGAUGGUUGUCCCUGGGGAGGGCCCUCUGGCCCCAGGCAACCUUAGCCCCUCAGAACAGGGAGUCCCAGGACCCAGGGAGAGUGUGGGGACAGGACAGCCUGUCUCUUGCAGCUUCCUGGGGCGGGAGGCACAUGGGCAAAGCAAUACCCCAGGGAAAGUGGGAGGUGGUGCUGGUGCUCUCUCUAGGCCCACCAUGCUGGGAGAGGCGGCCGGGGCCUGGGGCCUCCAGCCUGGGACUGCUGUGAUGGGGUAUCACGGUGAUGGUCCCAUUAAACUUCCACUCUGC